rnacentral:rRNA from 1 species
GACGAACGCUGGCGGCGUGCUUAACACAUGCAAGUCGAACGGAAAGGCCCUGCUUUUGUGGGGUGCUCGAGUGGCGAACGGGUGAGUAACACGUGAGUAACCUGCCCUUGACUUUGGGAUAACUUCAGGAAACUGGGGCUAAUACCGGAUAGGAGCUCCUGCUGCAUGGUGUGGGUUGGAAAGUUUCGGCGGUUGGGGAUGGACUCGCGGCUUAUCAGCUUGUUGGUGGGGUAGUGGCUUACCAAGGCUUUGACGGGUAGCCGGCCUGAGAGGGUGACCGGCCACAUUGGGACUGAGAUACGGACCAGACGCCUACGGGAGGCAGCAGUGGAGAAUAUUGCACAAUGGGCGGAAGCCUGAUGCAGCAACGCCGCGUGCGGAAUGACGGCCUUCGGGUUGUAAACCGCUUUCGACUGUAACGAAGCGUGAGUGACGGUAAUGGAUAAAAAAGCACCGGCUAACUACGUG